UACAGAGGUCUCAAGCGUUUGUUCGGAUUCAUUGGGCGUAAAGGGUGUGUAGGUGGCGCGCUAAGUCGGGUGUGAAAUUUCGGAGCUUAACUUCGAAACUGCAUUCGAUACUGGCGUGCUUGAGGACUGGAGAGGAGACUGGUAAUUAUGGUGUAGCAGUGAAAUGCGUAGAGAUCAUGAGGAAGACCAGUGGCGAAGGCGGGUCUCUGGACAGUUCCUGACACUGAGACACGAAGGCCAGGGAGCAAACGGG
rnacentral:rRNA from 1 species